CCUGCUCUCCCUGCCUCCCUUCUUGCUGGGGUGAGGCAUGGCCAAGGGGAGAGCUGGAACUGCUUUGAAUCCAAGAAAUAUCACAGCUCUGAUUUCUGUUACAAGAACCCUGAAGUUAACACCACUAAUUGCUGCAGGGUGAAUGAGGACUGAUGAUUACUGGUCACAGAGGACUGGGAAGAAAUUCCAUACUGGAGAGGGCAAGGAACAAAUUAGGAAGUACCAAAGAUGAAGCCAUUGUGAGCAGCAAAUCAAGGCAGGUUCCUCUGAGAAGGAAAACAGAGCAAGGGCUGGGAGGAUUUGUCAGCCCAGUGGGUUGUGCACUGGAGGAAGCAGUCACACAGUCCUGGCUCCAGCCUGGUACCUGCAGCUCUUUCUGGCAGUGAGGAAAUGGAUUUUCAAGAGUCCAGCUCGAGUUGCUCUUGAUUUUCACUAAGUCUCAGCAUCAGCUGCUGCUCAUAAUAAAGGCUCUUUGCAUAGUUGA